UAGGGAAUCUUCCGCAAUGGACGCAAGUCUGACGGAGCAACGCCGCGUGAGUGAAGAAGGAUUUCGGUUCGUAAAACUCUGUUGUUAGAGAAGAACAGCGCAUAGAGUAACUGUUAUGCGUGUGACGGUAUCUAACCAGAAAGCCACGGCUAACUACGUGCCAGCAGCCGCGGUAAUACGUAGGUGGCAAGCGUUGUCCGGAUUUAUUGGGCGUAAAGCGAGCGCAGGCGGUCAAUUAAGUCUGAUGUGAAAGCCCCCGGCUCAACCGGGGAGGGUCAUUGGAAACUGGUUGACUUGAGUGCAGACGAGGAGAGUGGAAUUCCAUGUGUAACGGUGAAAUGCGUAGAUAUAUGGAGGAACACCAGUGGCGAAGGCGACUCUCUGGUCUGUAACUGACGCUGAGGCUCGAAAGCGUGGGUAGCAAACAGG
rnacentral:rRNA from 1 species